rnacentral:rRNA from 1 species
CCUACGGGAGGCAGCAGUAGGGAAUCAUCCGCAAUGGGCGAAAGCCUGACGGUGCAACGCCGCGUGAGUGAGGAAGGUUUUCGGAUCGUAAAGCUCUGUUGUGAGGGAAGAACAGCUUCAGGAGGAAAUGCCUAAAGUCUGCCGGUACCUCACCAGAAAGCCACGGCUAACUACGUGCCAGCAGCCGCGGUAAUACGUAGGUGGCAAGCGUUGUCCGGAAUUAUUGGGCGUAAAGGGCACGCAGGCAGUGAGGCAAGUCUGAUGUGAAAGGCCGGCGCUCAACGCCGGAAUGGCAUUGGAAACUGCCUGACUUGAGUACAGAAGAGGAGAGUGGAAUUCCACGUGUAGCGGUGAAAUGCGUAGAGAUGUGGAGGAACACCAGUGGCGAAGGCGACUCUCUGGUCUGUGACUGACGCUGAGGUGCGAAAGCGUGGGGAGCGAACAGGAUUAGAUACCCUGGUAGUCCACGCCGUAAACGAUGAGUGCUAGGUGUUAGGGGUUUCGAUACCCGUAGUGCCGAAGCAAACGCAAUAAGCACUCCGCCUGGGGAGUNGGACCGCAAGGUUGAAACUCAAAUGAAUUGACGGGG